UACAGAGGGUGCGAGCGUUAAUCGGAAUGACUGGGCGUAAAGGGUGUGUAGGUGGUUUAAUAAGUUAGGUGUAAAAGUCCCGGGCUUAACCUGGGGAGGUCGCUUAAGACUGUUAGACUAGAGUACUGGAGAGGAAGGUGGAAUUUCCGGUGUAGCAGUGAAAUGCGUAGAUCUCGGAAGGAACAUCAGUGGCGAAGGCGACUUUCUGGCCAGCUACUGACACUGAGGCACGAGAGCGUGGGGAGCAAACAGG
rnacentral:rRNA from 1 species